rnacentral:rRNA from 1 species
UACAGAGGGUCUCAAGCGUUGUUCGGAGUUACAUUGGGCGUAAAGGGUGCGUAGGUGGCGGGGCAAGUUUGGUGUGAAAUCCCGGGGCUCAACCCCGGAACUGCACUGAAUACUGCCUUGCUUGAGCACUGGAGAGGGAACUGGAAUUUACGGUGUAGCAGUGAAAUGCGUAGAUAUCGUAAGGAAGACCAGUGGCGAAGGCGAGUUCCUGGACAGUUGCUGACACUGAGGCACGGAAGGCUAGGGGAGCAAACAGG